GUUCUAAGGGCGUUGAAGCAUGAUCGUAAGGACAUGUGGAGCGCUUAGAAGUGAGAAUGCCGGUGUGAGUAGCGAAAGACGGGUGAGAAUCCCGUCCACCGAUUGACUAAGGUUUCCAGAGGAAGGCUCGUCCGCUCUGGGUUAGUCGGGUCCUAAGCUGAGGCCGACAGGCGUAGGCGAUGGAUAACAGGUUGAUAUUCCUGUACCACCUAUAAUCGUUUUAAUCGAUGGGGGGACGCAGUAGGAUAGGCGAAGCGUGCGAUUGGAUUGCACGUCUAAGCAGUAAGGCUGAGUAUUAGGCAAAUCCGGUACUCGUUAAGGCUGAGC
rnacentral:rRNA from 1 species